GGAUCAUUAUUGAAAUAAACCUGAUAAGCUGUUGCUGGUUUUCUAGGGAGCAUGUGCACGCUUGUCAUCUUUAUAUCCUCACAUGUGCAUCUCUUGUAGACCUUGGAUAUUUUUCUGAAUGUUAGCUAGUUCAGGUUUGAGGAUUGAUUUUUUGGUCUUUCCUUACAUUUCCAGGCCUAUGUUUCUUCAUAUACACUCCAAUCUACGUUAUAGACUGUAAUAAAUUGGCCUUUGUGCCUACAAACCUAUACAACUUUCAGCAACGGAUCUCUUGGCUCUCGCAUCGAUGAAGAACGCAGCGAAAUGCGAUAAGUAAUGUGAAUUGCAGAAUUCAGUGAAUCAUCGAAUCUUUGAACGCACCUUGCGCUCCUUGGUAUUCCGAGGAGCAUGCCUGUUUGAGUGUCAUUAAUAUAUAUAUCAACCUCUUCAAACUUUUGUUUGUUGAAUGUUGGACGUGGGUGUGCUGGUCUCUUUUCUUCUGAGGUCAGCUCCCCUGAAAUGAAUUAGCAGAACAAUUUGUUGAUCUGUUCAUUAGUGUGAUAACUAUCUACACUAUUGAUGUGAGGCAGUAGUUCAGCUUCUAACAGUCCAUUGACUUGGACAAGUUUUCAUUAAUGUGACCUCAAAUCAGGUA
rnacentral:rRNA from 1 species